GCGGCGGACGGGUGAGUAACACGUGGGUAACCUACCUCAAACUGGGGGAUAGCCUCUCGAAAGGGAGAUUAAUACCGCAUAACAUUUCGACUUCACAUGGAGAUGCAAUUAAAGGAAUUUAUUCCGAUUUGAGAUGGACCCGCGGCGCAUUAGCUAGUUGGAGAGGUAACGGCUCACCAAGGCAACGAUGCGUAGCCGACCUGAGAGGGUGAUCGGCCACAUUGGAACUGAGAUACGGUCCAGACUCCUACGGGAGGCAGCAGUGGGGAAUAUUGCACAAUGGGCGAAAGCCUGAUGCAGCAACGCCGCGUGAGUGAUGAAGGCCUUCGGGUUGUAAAGCUCUGUCUUUGGGGACGAUAAUGACGGUACCCAAGGAGGAAGCCACGGCUAACUACGUGCCAGCAGCCGCGGUAAUACGUAGGUGGCGAGCGUUAUCCGGAAUUAUUGGGCGCAAAGAAUGCGUAGGUGGACUUUUAAGUCAGAUGUGAAAUCCCCGGGCUUAACCCGGGAGCUGCAUUUGAAACUGGAAGCCUGGAGUGCAGGAGAGGUAAGUGGAAUUCUCAGUGUAGCGGUGAAAUGCGCACAUAUUUGGAAGACCAUCGCUGGGCGAAGGCGACUUACUGGACUGUUACUGACACUGAGGCAUGAAAACGUGGGGAGCCAAACCGGGAUUAGAUACCCUGGUA
rnacentral:rRNA from 1 species